rnacentral:rRNA from 1 species
CCCUUAGAUGUCCUGGGCCGCACGCGCGCUACACUGACAUGUUCAACAAGCCUCCUAGUUCGACAGGAUUUGGGAAAUCUUUGAACGCAUGUCGUGAUAGGGAUAGAUCAUUGCAAUUAUUGAUCUUGAACGAGGAAUUCCUAGUAAACGCGAGUCAUCAGCUCGCAUUGAUUACGUCCCUGCCCUUUGUACACACCGCCCGUCGCUCCUACCGAUGGGUGAUCCGGUGAAUGAUUCGGACUUCAGCGGCUCCCCUGGGGUGCGCCGGAGAAAGUUUUGUGAACCUUAUCACUUGGAGGAAGGAGAAGUCGUAACA